rnacentral:rRNA from 1 species
GAUGAACGCUGGCGGCGUGCCUAAUACAUGCAAGUCGAGCGAACAGACGAGGAGCUUGCUCCUCUGACGUUAGCGGCGGACGGGUGAGUAACACGUGGAUAACCUACCUAUAAGACUGGGAUAACUUCGGGAAACCGGAGCUAAUACCGGAUAAUAUAUUGAACCGCAUGGUUCAAUAGUGAAAGACGGUUUUGCUGUCACUUAUAGAUGGAUCCGCGCCGCAUUAGCUAGUUGGUAAGGUAACGGCUUACCAAGGCAACGAUGCGUAGCCGACUUGAGAGGGUGAUCGGCCACACUGGAACUGAGACACGGUCCAGACUCCUACGGGAGGCAGCAGUAGGGAAUCUUCCGCAAAGGGCGAAAGCCUGACGGAGCAACGCCGCGUGAGUGAUGAAGGUCUUCGGAUCGUAAAACUCUGUUAUUAGGGAAGAACAAAUGUGUAAGUAACUAUGCACGUCUUGACGGUACCUAAUCAGAAAGCCACGGCUAACUACGUG